CAAGACGGUUCCCUUUUUUACACCUCCCGAGAAAACCCACUACUUAAACCUCCUUACAGCAGUUCGUUUGCUGUACAAUAUAGUGGCGACGAGGAAAAUUUUGAUUUUGAUACGGUGCAGCAGCAGUGAAGACAGUAGUGUAUCUCCGGGAUUAUCUUGAUUAUCUUCCGUCGGAAGUCCCUUUUGCAGUCCGCAUCGGUAGGACAGAAGAUAAAAGUGGUAAAAAGAAGUGUAUCAUCAUUUUGCACAGCAGGGACAUUGUGCGGCAAUUCAAUUAAAACGGGUCCGCUCCUCGGUCUCAUUGGAAAAUCGGUUGUUUCGUGGUGAGAUUGACCAAUUCAUCGGAUUUUGGCAGACAUGUCGUUUGUUGUAGCCUUAAACAUUGAGCCUUACCGUAAGGGCCAAACUUUUGCCACUUGGAUCAAGCGUCUAGCGGUCCAUUUCCGGGUGAACAAGGUCAAGGAUGCGGAUAAAAAGGACCAAAUGUUCAUUCUCGGUGGCGAUUAUUUGUUCGGUGUCGCAGAGAAGUUGUACCCCACGGAAGCUUUAAUGGACGAGGUGGAGUAUGAGACUCUACACUGCCAAAAAUAUCUAUAUAAGAUAUAUGUGUCGCCGUUAUAAAUUUUUGCAAUAGCUCCACCCUAAUAUAAUCGAUAUAGAACCACACAUAAAUUAAAUAAUUGCUAAUUCGAGACCACACAUAAAGUUUAUUUGGAUAUAUAUUUUAUUAGUAGUUCGCGUGGAGAAUGGUUAUGUGUGCGCUGAUAUACAUCAUAAGUUAAAUCUAUGGAUUUUUGCCAAUAAAUAUGUGUGAAUUUUUAGUAGUGUAGUCCAGAAGCUUAAGGAGAGGCUCGAUAGGACCGAUUCGGUCCUCAUUCAGCGGUACAAUUUUAGUACCAAGGUACAACAGCCUGGUGAAACCGCGAGCGAUUUUAUUUUCACGCUCAAGCUGCAAGCGGAGAAUUGCGAGUUCGGCGAUCAGAAGAAUCGGCUCAUUCUUGACCGGAUUCUGGUUGGUCUGUCGGACAACAAUCUUAA